rnacentral:hammerhead_ribozyme from 1 species
AUCUAGCUGACCAGUCUGAAAUAGGACGAAACGCGAGUCCUACAU